rnacentral:tRNA from 1 species
GCCUGGCUGGCUCAGUCGGUGGAGCAUGUGACUCUUAUUCUCAGGGUUGUGAGUUCAAGCCCCAUGUUGGGUG